GCUAAUUAAGCUAGUUGUGCUCUCUUAAUAAUUUUUCUAUUCACUUCAGAAUAGUUGCAUAUGGUCUGUCAUUUUUUGGAUGUUACAAUUCACAAUUUCAUUGUCUUGGCUCUCAGGGCUGCUAUGUAUGCAUCAUUAUUGGUUAUUGUGAAGGAGGAGACAUGGCAGAAGCUAUAAAGAAAGCAAAUGGUGUUCUUUUUUCCGAUGAGGUGAUUUUGGACUUGCUAAGAUGUUGCCAUCAGAUGAUCUUGCAUCCUCUGUUGUAGGAACUCCAAGUUAUAUGUGCCCUGAGCUUCUUGCUGACAUACCUUAUGGCUCUAAGUCAGACAUUUGGUCCUUGGUCAGGCCCUCAUCAAAAGCAUGCUGCGGAGAAAACCCAGAACUUCGGCCGAGUUUAUUUCCUGUUCUUUAUUCUUUUUUUAACACUUUCCGAAAAUGUUUUACGUAGGAGAAACAUUAAUAUAAGCAUGCGAAUGAUUUGCCAUUGCCUUAGAUAAUCUAAAUGAUUCCUAAUUCAUUAAUUAGGACUCAGCUAGUUGUGUUUGUUCUAGCUAAUAUAUUGCCAUUCAUAGUCAUCGGCAUAAGCCUUUUCUAGUAAGUUUCUCUAAUAAUUUUAAAUCCCUGUAAUGUAUCUUCCAAAAUUCGAAGCCAAGACAUUUUUAAGGUACUUAUUGGUUUUAUGUUUCAAUUGGAUUUAACUUUUGUGGCUUUGUAUAUAAGGUAGUAAUUUUUUGAUUGA